UACGUAGGGUGCGAGCGUUAAUCGGAAUUACUGGGCGUAAAGCGUGCGCAGGCGGUUGUUUAAGUCUGUCGUGAAAUCCCCGGGCUCAACCUGGGAAUGGCGAUGGAUACUGGGCAGCUAGAGUGUGUCAGAGGAUGGUGGAAUUCCCGGUGUAGCGGUGAAAUGCGUAGAGAUCGGGAGGAACAUCAGUGGCGAAGGCGGCCAUCUGGGACAACACUGACGCUGAAGCACGAAAGCGUGGGGAGCAAACAGG
rnacentral:rRNA from 1 species